GUGUGUGUGUGUGUGUGUAAAUUGAAAAGGUGGCUUAUUAGCAAUUCGAACCUAAAGGCAAAAUUAAUAGCGGUCAAAAAAGUGACAGAGGGUAAUGACUAGCUCCGCUUUUGCUAAGGAUGAGAGUUAAAAUAA